UGUUUAUAUUCUUCAUGAUUGUAAUAAAAAUGUAAAGUUCCAGUUUAAAAAUAAAUAUUACAAUAGAAAUGUGUACCAACAGUCUGUAUGUUAUAUAAACUGAGCACGAAGCCAAAACGAUAGUGCCAGGUUAUUCUGUUGCGACUGAUUUAAGGUUCAAACAUACUUUCAUAGGCGCGUAAAAGGACUCCUGGUCGCAUUUUAUCCGAGGCACAAAAGUAAAAUAGGCCUAUUAUUAUUAAAAUAUAAACACAGGCAAGAAAACAAAUGGGGGACUGACUCCUAUAUAUUCACAAACUGAACCGAAAUACACCCAAACGCAAAGUAGGCUAACAAAUCUCUUAUAAUCCGUCCCAUCCUCCUACAAAAAUUGUUUUGUAAAUAAUUUCAGUUUGGUUUGAUGUAGGCCUAAGAAGAAAAAAAAAAAAAAAAAUUGAAAUAACAAAACAAUACUAUUAUUGUGUGCAAUUUAAAAAAAAAACAAAAAAAAACAAUCACCUCAAAAAUAAAUAACUUGUAGUAAAUUCCAUGGUAUAAAAAAGGGCGUUUCCGGUGGGACGGACUAUAGAUCCUAUUUUAUUUAUAAGCGUCUGUAGAAAUGUGACGUCACAAAUUGGGGGAGAGCACUUGAGGUGGUGUUGUGACGUACGAAUUGUUUCCGUGAUGUUAGAGCAUGCGAUUAUAAACGAUGAGUCCGUUUUAGGAAUAUAUUCUCCAUUUUAAACUCUGGUAUUUGUGCAAUGCUAAGGCUGAUAGUAGACUAACAUGAAGACCAUAAAGUGCGUCUUUAUGAUGCAGGGACUGCUGAUAAAUUGUGUUGGAUCCCCUUAUUUGUCUGGUGCUACGACGUACGCUGAGCUGAACCACCCCUUUACUUUCAUCUGUACUGUAACCGUCUCUUCCAAUCCUACUGACGAAGUAAGUUUUCAAACUGGAAAAGACGAGAUUGCUGUGCUGAAGCAGACGGCUUCAGGAUGUGUUUUGUCUAACGUUCCACACCCAGUACGUUAUUCUGCCUCCUGUGAAUCAGGGACAGCCGAUAUCUUUGCCAGAAGUAAGAACUACACUCUGACCAUCAAAAGAAUUUCAGUCAACGAUAUUACAGACUGGUUCUGUGAAACGAAAAAUCCAAAAAAUCGCAGCAACAGUUUUAAAGUCAAGUUGAAGCACCAGGACUACACGAGCAGCAGCUGCCACUUACAGACUUGGAAAACACCAGGCAACCAUCAACACAGGACCUACUGCACGUCGACGACAUCCCGGUGCUAAGCCCUAAUGAGAUCUACCGAAAAUACAGCCUCGUUACACCCCCCGCAAAAAGACCCAGGACACGUUCACAUACCAGAGAAGACCACAGAGUAUACACACAACUUUCACAUUACAGAACAAAGAACAAACAGAACAGGGUGGUUAAAUUUACCGAGGAUUACGACAAAUACAGAAGAGUGUCAUCUGCAACAGAAACACUGAAAAUCAGAAGCCAAGAAGCGAGGUUUUAAAGUAAAAUCAGAAAUAGAAAUAAAGAAAAAAGAACGGACAUAAAAAAAGAAAUAUGCCAAAACUGCAUAUCCAUACACAAAGUUUGCUUUUGAAACAGAUAUAUAUGUUUACGGUGAUGUAUAUCCAAAUUGCUGGCUAUACUAUAAUAAUAAUACACAAUAAUAUUAUAUUUCAAAAUUUCAAAAUCGAGGGUUGUCUGAAAUUUAUAGGGGGUUGAAUCAUACACGCCAGGAAAAUAUAUUGGAAAAAAACUACAAUUUGCUUGAGCAGGUGAGGAGGUUCGAGCCCCGAAGCCCUGCACAUGCGCCUGCUUGUAUAUUUUUCUGUGAAGAAGUGACUACAAAGAGUUAGACGUGCACAUUUCUUAUGGACCGCAUUUGUUCCUUGACCGCUACAUGUUUCAUUCAAAAUUUGGCAUUGUUUUAUUGAAAGCUACACCGACUUAGUUGCAUAAUUUCAGAGAUGCUUCUUCUGAUUUCUGUCCAAAUAAUAGCACUACUGGCAAGAACUACAAUGGGGAAACAGCAAUAAAAAUGGUUGCUGCUCAUUUGAUAAUCCAUGCCCUUCCAGGAUGUAAUACUGCUGCUAUAAUAUAAAGGGUUACAAAAGCAAGAUUUAUCAAAAUUCUGCAUGAAGCUUUUAAACCUAUUAAACCUGGGGACUUGGAUAGUGACAUAGAUAAGUCACCAGAAAGGCUUCAUUUAGAUGGUAAAGACGUUGAUUGUUGAAAAUACGAAGUUUUAGAUCACUUCCACAAGUACUAUUCUACAUGGAAUGAAACCAUGCACCCUUUGAAAUCGUCCGAUUCAUUGCAGCUUUUUAACCAAAUUUCGCCGACUGGGUAAUAUUGGUGUUCAAGCGGUGGCAAUCUUGGAUGUAAAGAAUGUUGCAAUAUCUCAAUUAGCUGGGAGUAGUUCAACAUGAAACACCAUCAUGAACAUCAGCAGUUUCGUCAUUAUUGAUAAAGUAUUGGAGAUGUUUCCAGUUCUGUUUUGACAGCCAUCUUGGACGCCAUCUUGAAUAUUUAAAAAUGUUCAAGGAUACCAAAUUACACCUCUGGGAUCCUUAAUCAACACUUUAAAAAAAUGCAAAAACCACAAAGAACAUUGUGGGUACCGAUCUGCAAGGCUUAUAAGUGCUUUAGUAAACACUAAAACACGGAUUUCUCGACCACCUGAAUGAUAAAUGUUAAAAGGUGUGAUAACUAGGUAAAUCUACCCUAUUGAAAAGUCCAUUAUGCAUUUUUUGUUUGUCCUAGGAUGUACUAAAACAAUUACAACAGUUUUGUUUGGUGCCCUCAGAUGGUACCAAUUUUUGGUCUGGCUUAUGGACUUUCACGACAGUAACACUCCAGUGGCAUAGCUAUCAGCAGUCCGUGCUACAUGUAAUAAUUCUUACUGACAUUCCCCACAAAAAAACAUAAAAUAAUAAUAAUAAUAAAAAAUUAAAAAAAAAAAAAAAAAAAAAAAA